rnacentral:sRNA from 1 species
GACAGACCUAAAGACCCCACAGUAUCAAGAAUUUGGUCAUGUUCAGAAAUCAUGUGCACAGAGUUUGGGAGUGGAUUUUGGAAUUAAGAUUACUGUGGUGCAGAACAAUGACUCUCCUCCACUCUGGUCAUGGCGUGUGAUGACCAAACCCAGGCUUAUUGUGCCAUGAUUUAGGAAGUAAGAUGAAUGCACAAAAGAAACUGGCCUUUGAUGGUAAAAGUGGUUUAUUUCUGGUUCUCAAGUUUAUUGACAGAAGAUAUUAACAAGGACACAGGAAUCGUGAAGGGCAAAAAAAUAUGCCUUAUCAAAGAAGUGCAUGUACGCUCACCAGGACACGUGUUUGGAGAAGUUGGUACCACCUAACUUUCAUUUGCUCUUUAACCCUUCGGGUUGUUUGCUGGCCAAGUGCCUGGGCCACUGCUGCUUGAAUAAAGUUCUUUGCCUUCUUGGGGACAUUUCUGCGUUUAUUUCAGUGGGGAACGAUAGACAAUAAAGUAAUGUGGCUGAAACAUUAUUACGCCAGUA